UCCUCCUGAAGUUCCAGCAGCUCCGGACCCACUACCAUGUGCCUGCUGCUGAGGCCAAGCCAUCACAGUAUGGAACUCAUCCAUAGUCCCCCUAUGUACUGGUGGUUGAUCAUAAAGUUCUAUAAUCAUCUUGGCACUGGCCACUUGCCCUCUGUAAAGGGACUCCAUCCUCGCCUCCAUCAUAGACAUGUACAUGUCUCUCAUAUGGAAGGGCUCAGGCUACUCUGUCGGUGCAUCUGCAGGCUCAUCCUCCUACUGUGCUGCUACCCUCCUAGGACGUCUCCUAGGAACCGCUCCGGCUGGCUCUUCA
rnacentral:lncRNA from 1 species